CUUGAGUACAAUUGUCAUAUUUCUGGCCUUGGUGGGUUUUAUUGGGUCCAGUGUGUCAUUUUACCAUGGUAGUGAUUAUGUGUGAUUAAAUGGUAAUCAGCUGGGUGUAUCAGAAAAUUUUGUCAGUUCAGAAGAGAACCUUUUUUCCAUAACCUUGUUGAAUUGAAUUAUAAAGCCAAAUUCCACCCAGAAACUUUAUGAAAAGGAAUUUUCUAUUCUCAUGUGACAAGAGGUUUUGCAUCACUGGAUAUAGGUAACAUUAACAAUGAAUGACUACUUUGUAUGGUAGUACAAUGUUGUUGCAACAAUAUAUCUUAUCCUUUGGGGACAUUGCUGGACCUCUACCCAACUAUCAAGUCCCAAUUAACUGAUGUCAAUAAUUUUGAUUCGACUCCUAUACCUUCCUCAGGUAACUGAAUUCACGUGUUUUUCCAUAUUUAAAUUGUCACCCACAUGGGUGUCAAACAGCACAAAUAUUGAACACUGCCAUCUAGUCAUCAUACAAAUAUUCGGGGCCUAUUUGAUGAUUGUUUUUUGCAAGUUGUAAAUUUUUGGAUGCUAUGCUUAAUCACCCAAGGCAGUUUAAGGGUAGCAAUACUAGACUGAUGAUACUGGCAGAGUGGCAGUGAACAAAUUUGAGUGUUGCUAGAGUUAGCCGUGACCUAUAGAAGAUGAAAAUGGUGGCAGUCUGGCAGGCUAGGGGAUUUGGGCAGGUUGAGCCUGUUCAAUUUCACUAAAAAAAUUAAAAAAGGAAAAGGAGAAAGAGAACAAUACCUUUUUUUUGUCUUAUGAAAAAAAAAUUAUAAUUUUUAUAUAUCAUGAGAGCUUUUAACUAACCAUAAUGAGUUAAAAAAAAGGGAAUUCUAGAUAUAGAUAAUUUAAUUGUCAUGACAGUCAUCUCCGUUAUUUGCAAUAAAAUUUGUUUAUUAUUUUUCUGCUAGAGACGGAUUUUUUUUUUCUUGGGUCUCUGUGUCUCAUGCAUGCAUGACCAUUUGUAUGAUUGUUGACCAUUUCAAUUGCAAUUUAUAUGGUUUUGGCUUUAAUUCUACUUUUCAGGUAUGGGUUCUACGAUGAAUGCU
rnacentral:misc_RNA from 1 species